GGCAUUUAUGUUUUUAUUUCCCCUUAAUAGAUAGAUAUCCAUUUUAUGUUUAGUUCUGUUCUAUAUUGAUGGCAGCAUAAGCCAGCCUAUUGGUUAGAUUUUGGGUUGUUAAUGUGGGGUUAAAUUACAUCUUAUAUAGAGUUAUUAUUUACUCAGUCUCGGAUUCCAGUGUAUUUUCAACUGAUCCAUGAGAUAUAUUUUAUAUUGCAGCAUUGUAUAGACUUUGACUCCUGUUUCUUUGGAAAAUAAGUUACAGAGAAGUCCAAGUAGACGAACAAAAAGUAGGUGGGAGCCUCUACCAAAGGAGAAACUUGUUGAAAAAUCAGCAUCCGUCAAUCAUAGUACUUUAAAAUAUUCUGGAUGGGCACAUGCCAAUGAAAGGGACAAAAAGGUAUUGUUAUUGUAAUUAUGUGACAAGCGAAAUAGAAAAUGAUACUUAAUUUUGAAGGCUUUGUGUUGGGUAGCUGUAGAAUAUUUUGUGCUGAAAGUAGUAACUUUUCAAUAUGUUGAAUAUUUAAGACUACUUGAAUACUUAAAGAACAUUUUGUUGUUGAUGACAGUGUUGAAUGUUUUAAACUAAUUUGUGGAUUGUUAAUACAA